CUGCAUUCCGCGUGAAAACAGCUAGCUCUCUUGUGGCAGCGGCAGUGACUGAGAGAGAAAAAUAUGAAAGAGUGAGAAGACAAGAGAGAAAGGCGGCAAAAUUGCAAACAACUGGCUCUGUUAUCCAGCCAUAUACUGGAAGGACCAGGGGGAAGAGUGUGCAUAGGUCAUUAUCUCCCUGCCUGCGCCACCACCACCUACUCAAAGCUUCAUGA